rnacentral:rRNA from 1 species
GGUUAAGCGACUAAGCGUACACGGUGGAUGCCCUGGCAGUCAGAGGCGAUGAAGGACGUGCUAAUCUGCGAAAAGCGUCGGUAAGGUGAUAUGAACCGUUAUAACCGGCGAUGUCCGAAUGGGGAAACCCAGUGCAAUUCGUUGCACUAUCGUUAACUGAAUACAUAGGUUAACGAGGCGAACCGGGGGAACUGAAACAUCUAAGUACCCCGAGGAAAAGAAAUCAACCGAGAUUCCCCCAGUAGCGGCGAGCGAACGGGGAGCAGCCCAGAGUCUGAAUCAGCUUGUGUGUUAGUGGAACGGUCUGGAAAGUCCGACGGUACAGGGUGAUAGUCCCGUACACCAAAAUGCACAGGCUGUGAACUCGAAGAGUAGGGCGGGACACGUGGUAUCCUGUCUGAAUAUGGGGGGACCAUCCUCCAAGGCUAAAUACUCCUGACUGACCGAUAGUGAACCAGUACCGUGAGGGAAAGGCGAAAAGAACCCCGGCGAGGGGAGUGAAAAAGAACCUGAAACCGUGUACGUACAAGCAGUGGGAGCACCUUCGGGUGUGACUGCGUACCUUUUGUAUAAUGGGUCAGCGACUUAUAUUCUGUAGCAAGGUUAACCGUAUAGGGGAGCCGCAGGGAAACCGAGUCUUAACUGGGCGUUAAGUUGCAGGGUAUAGACCCGAAACCCGGUGAUCUAGCCAUGGGCAGGUUGAAGGUUGGGUAACACUAACUGGAGGACCGAACCGACUAAUGUUGAAAAAUUAGCGGAUGACUUGUGGCUGGGGGUGAAAGGCCAAUCAAACCGGGAGAUAGCUGGUUCUCCCCGAAAGCUAUUUAGGUAGCGCCUCGUGAAUUCAUCUUCGGGGGUAGAGCACUGUUUCGGCUAGGGGGUCAUCCCGACUUACCAACCCGAUGCAAACUACGAAUACCGAAGAAUGUUAUCACGGGAGACACACGGCGGGUGCUAACGUCCGUCGUGAAGAGGGAAACAACCCAGACCGCCAGCUAAGGUCCCAAAGUCAUGGUUAAGUGGGAAACGAUGUGGGAAGGCACAGACAGCCAGGAUGUUGGCUUAGAAGCAGCCAUCAUUUAAAGAAAGCGUAAUAGCUCACUGGUCGAGUCGGCCUGCGCGGAAGAUGUAACGGGGCUAAACCAUGCACCGAAGCUGCGGCAGCGACACUAUGUGUUGUUGGGUAGGGGAGCG